rnacentral:rRNA from 1 species
GACGAACGCUGGCGGCGUGCUCAACACAUGCAAGUCGAACGGAAAGGCCCUGCUUUUGUGGGGUGCUCGAGUGGCGAACGGGUGUGUAACACGUGAGUGACCUGCCCUUGACUCUGGGAUAACUUCAGGAAACUGGGGCUCACACCGGAUAGGAGCUCCUGCUGCAUGGUGGGGGUUGGAAAGCUUCGGCGGUUGGGGAUGGACUCGCGGCUUAUCAGCUUGUUGGUGGGGUAGUGGCUUACCAAGGCUUUGACGGGUAGCCGGCCUGAGAGGGUGACCGGCCACAUUGGGACUGAGAUACGGCCCAGACUCCUACGGGAGGCAGCAGUGGGGAAUAUUGCACAAUGGGCGGAAGCCUGAUGCAGCAACGCCGCGUGCGGGAUGACGGCCUUCGGGUUGUAAACCGCUUUCGCCUGUGACGAAGCGUGAGUGACGGUAAUGGGUAAAGAAGCAGCGGCUAACUACGUG